rnacentral:lncRNA from 1 species
GGAGGUGCAGGAGCAAGCAGUUUGGUGGCCAGCAUUUCUGAAAACAUGGCUGUCGUGUGGGUCCCAGAAAAGCAGCACCUGCCUGAGGUGGAAACUUGUUAGAAGUGCAGAGGUGCAGACCCCACCCCGCCUGCCUGGCUCAGGAUCUGCCUGUUCCCAAGAGCGCCAGGGGUUCCUGUGCAGUCACAGCUGACAGCACAGCUCUGGGUGAAGCCAGGCCUUGGUCAGCCACCCAGGACUCUACCUGCUGACCAGGACAAGGUCCAGGGCACAUCCAGGGCUGCAACAAUUAUUAUACUGUGGGCUGAAGAUGUUCACAGGAGAGGCUUCAGUGGAGGAAAUGUUUUGUUUCUCUCUCUCACACACACACACUUAUUAUAUCGUAAAGGACCCAGACUCAGAAGAGAUUUAACUUAUGUUUUGCUUUGUCACCCAAUACCUGUGGAACCUUGACCAGGUCCCUGACUUCUCUGAGCAUGUUCCCCUCUCUCUAAAAAAAGGGAUUAAACUGUGACUCCAUUGAGCUGGGCACUCACAGGGAGCGACCAGUAAACAUGUCCCAGGUGUGAACUCAUUGAAUCCUCUGGACAACCCAGUUGAUGCCAGCACUAUUAUUUCCCACACUUGACAGGUGAGGACCUGGAGGCACAGAGCACGACCCAACCUGCUGGCGAUCACACGGCUCGUGGGUGGAGGAGGGGGUGCAGCGCCUGGGCGGCCUGGCUUGGGGGGCCCACGCUCUGCUGCGACACAGUGGAACCACCCGCAGCCGUGUGCAGAUUCCAUGGACGGGUGCAUGUAAACCCUGCAGCCCAGCACCCGAGCCCUCCAAAACAUCAUCACCAAGAGACCUGGCUUCGCACCUGGCUCUUUGCUCUUCAAGAAGAGCUGCCUCUCUUUCUCUGGUCCUAGGCCAAAACAUUCCAGAGAAGGCACAGUCCAGGGCACAGCUCUGGACAGGCAGCCCACCCCUCGCUGGCUGGAGUGAAAGGAGGAGCAGAUCCCAGGAAGACAGACUGAGCAAACAUACCAGAUGCCAUAGACAUCUCUCAUGGCACCAAGCAAGAGGCCAGAUUCUAGGUAUGCAUGGGGAGGGCAGAAGAGAGAGGGCGGUAGAAGACCUGUCGGGGUGGGGUUGGGGAAGAGUGGGGAAAGGGUCCUUCUGUAGCAUAAGCAUGCUAAUUGGAAGGACAUUCAGUUCUGCUCGCGAUCACAGGUGCCUCAGGCCAUAUAUGUUUCCUGCCAAUUUCCUUUCAACCUUAACUAAUAAGUUCUCCGUAAAUUCUGUCUGAUCUAGUGGGCAAAGUAUAGUACCAUUUUCUGUUUAGCUGUGCUUGGUAUAGCGAGAAAGGUUCCCAAAAAUGUUGUUGCCCUCAUCCCUUUGUCUGUAAGUGUCUAUCCAGCACGAACCCUUUCUUAAUAGGCUCCCUACGAAAUGUGGGAGGUAGUAAUAUUCACCAGCAGUAGCUGCAUCUUUUUACUUGAUAGAAUAUAUCUUCUGGCGGUAAACUCUAGCUGCGAGUGUGAUGGGAGCGUAUUUGCUGUAGAAGCUGGACACAGCGGCCGGGUCUUAGCUUUCCCAGAACGGAUCGCCAGCCCGACAAUGGUGCUAACAGGGAUGUGCAGUGGAAAUGACAGGACUUUGGAGCUAGAAAGCCUCAGACUCGAAUCCAGGUUGUAAAAUAAGGACGAUAAUGACUAAGAACUGACGGACUAAGGGCUGCAAUGCGGCAAGUGGUGCACCAUCCAGAUCACCCUUUGUGACUAAGUCAUUUGUUCCCCCAGCUGCUGAGGGUCCUGGGGCUGAUCCCUCACCACCGAGACCCUUCCUAUGGUUUAUUCAAUCAGAAUAAUUUCAAAAUAACUGAAGUCCUUUACUAAUUCUAUUAGGAAUAAGACUUUGGGUUGCAAGUUGCAAAAAACCCUGUUGAGAUUGUUUAGGGGAAGGAAGAGUUUAUCUGUGAAUCCAUAUGGUUGGUGGGGAAGGU